rnacentral:tRNA from 1 species
UUACAAGAAUUGAUUUAAUCAUAUAUGAUUUCGACUCAUACUUAGAUGUACUUACAUCCUUGUAAU